rnacentral:rRNA from 1 species
AUUGAACGCUGGCGGCAUGCCUUACACAUGCAAGUCGAACGGCAGCACGGGAGCAAUCCUGGUGGCGAGUGGCGAACGGGUGAGUAAUAUAUCGGAACGUGCCCAGUCGUGGGGAUAACGUAGCGAAAGCUACGCUAAUACCGCAUACGAUCUAUGGAUGAAAGCGGGGGGAUCGCAAGACCUCGCGCGAUUGGAGCGGCCGAUAUCAGAUUAGGUUGUUGGUGAGGUAAAGCUCACCAAGCCGACGAUCUGUAGCUGGUUUGAGAGAACGACCAGCCACACUGGGACUGAGACACGGCCCAGACUCCUACGGGAGGCAGCAGUGGGGAAUUUUGGACAAUGGGCGAAAGCCUGAUCCAGCAAUGCCGCGUGCAGG